AUUUGAGACUACGGAAGGCUCCGUCUUGAGAGAGGAAGAGGGCAAUAGGGAGAAAGAGAGCUGAGAGCCAAGGCUGGGUGGGGUGCCUCCGCCCUUCUCCUGGGUGCACAGCUGAGUGGGCGGGCAGGCGGGCUCUCGGGCUGGCUGCGGAGUGGUUGGUGGGCUCUGAAUAUUCUCCUACAAAGAAGGAGGGAGGGGAAGCAGUGGGUGGAGCAGGGCGGAAGCCCUGACAGGUGGGCCAGACAGCGUGUGCACACAGAGCACACUGCCAGGGGAGGAUGCUGGUGCGAGAGGAAAAGGGGGUGGGGAGUGGCGGGGCCAGCGCAGGGAAGGUGCAAGCGGAGGGGCAGAGCCACAGAGCGCGGCGCUAUCAGGUUGUGUUGCAGGAGACCGGGGGCAUGUUUGCUGUGUUUGCAUCCUCUCCACCCGUCUGGCCGGGGAGCUGCACGCCUGAGCGCGCUGGAAGCUACGUCCUGUGCCUUGGUUCCUCCGCCAGGAAGAGAGAGGGACUACGGGUGGCACUGUUGAAGCUAAGGGUAAGAGUUGCCAGAAAUUAACAGAAAAUAAAAGAAAAUACGAGUGAAGAAAUGUGAUUAAGCACAGAAACUUGAAAACCCAGAGGAAUGAAACGCUGAUAACUUCUUACUUUGGAGGACUUCUGUUAGAAGGGGGGUGGAGGGGACAGUUCCCAAGGAUCUGAAACAAAGCUUUUUAUCUACUUGUGAAGAUUUAUCUAGUUGUGAAGAGGGAGUUUUUAGCUAACGGAAGCUGCAGCAUUGUCCCCAGGAAAUAAUGCUUUAUCCAGAAUGGGGAUUGGGCAUACAUAUGCUUUGGAAUUUUGAACAUAUUUUGGACCUCCCUGAGGCCUUCUUCAUGUUAAGCAGACUGGAGUACUACUGCCCUCUCAAGUGGCCUACUCUAAGUGGACAAGAAAGCCUUGUCUUGACAGGCUUUAUGGAUUUGGUUAUAAAAUGUGGAAUGGGGGCCUGCUUUAUUUCUGGCACUGUUCAGAAUUGUGCUGAAUCUCUUAUCACCUGGUGUUUUCAUCUGGCCGGUCACCCUCAGGCAGAACCCAGGCAGAGCGUCUGCCUUUGAGCAUUUGGGAAAGGAAGGCCCAAGCAAUGAAGUGGAUGAGACUAGUUUCCAAAAGGCUGCUUAUGUCUGGGAGCUGAGGCCAGACCCAGGCUACAGGCCAUUAGGUCUGGUCCAGUUGUGGUUUCACUGACAUUGACCAUUUUCUUGUCAAAGACCUGUUUGGAAUAAAACUGGAUUUUGCUGAACUGUUCUCUUAUUC
rnacentral:lncRNA from 1 species